rnacentral:rRNA from 1 species
GUACCGUGAGGGAAAGGUGAAAAGAACCCUGAAUAAGGGAGUGAAAUAGAACCUGAAACCAUACGCUUACAAGCGGUCGGAGCGAUAAGUGACGGCGUGCCUUUUGCAUAAUGAGCCUACGAGUUACUUUAACUAGCGAGGUUAAGGCCUUCAGGGCCGGAUCCGUAGCGAAAGCGAGUCUGAAUAGGGCGAACAUAGUUAGUUUGAGUAGACGCGAAACCGUGUGAUCUACCCUUGGGCAGGUUGAAGCUUUGUUAACCCAAAGUGGAGGACCGAACCCGUUGACGUUGAAAAGUCUUGGGAUGACCUGAGGGUAGGGGUGAAAGGCCAAUCAAACCGGGAAAUAGCUCGUACUCCCCGAA